GACGAACGCUGGCGGCGUGCUUAACACAUGCAAGUCGAGCGGUAAGGCCCUUUCGGGGGUACGACGAGCGGCGAACGGGUGAGUAACACGUGGGUGACCUGCCCUCAGCUCUGGGAUAAGCCUGGGAAACCGGGUCUAAUACUGGAUAUGACUCCAUGACGCAUGUUGGUGGGGUGGAAAGCCUUGUGCGGCUGAGGAUGGGCCCGCGGCCUAUCAGCUUGUUGGUGGGGUGAGGCCUACCAAGGCGACGACGGGUAGCCGGCCUGAGAGGGCGACCGGCCACACUGGGACUGAGACACGGCCCAGACUCCUACGGGAGGCAGCAGUGGGGAAUCUUGCGCAAUGGGCGAAAGCCUGACGCAGCGACGCCGCGUGAGGGAUGACGGCCUGGUGU
rnacentral:rRNA from 1 species